UGGGGAGUAUUGGACAAUGGGGGCAACCCUGAUCCAGCGAUGCCGCGUGAGUGAAGAAGGCCUUCGGGUCGUAAAGCUCUUUAGGUUGGGAAGAAGGGUAUGUGGUGCAUAGCCAUGUACCUUGACGGUACCGACAGAAUAAGCACCGGCAAACUCUGUGCCAGCAGCCGCGGUAAUACAGAGGGUGCGAGCGUUAAUCGGAAUUACUGGGUGUAAAGGGCGCGUAGGCGGUAAGAUAUGUGUGUUGUGAAAGCCCCGGGCUUAACCUGGGAAGUGCAAUGCAAACGGUCUAACUGGAGUAUAUGAGAGGGUGGCGGAAUUUCCGGUGUAGCGGUGAAAUGCGUAGAGAUCGGAAGGAACGUCAAUGGCGAAGGCAGCCACCUGGCAUAAUACUGACGCUGAGGCGCGAAAGCGUGGGGAGCGAACAGG
rnacentral:rRNA from 1 species